CCGGAAGUACCGCGUACUGGCUGGGAGCUCCAGUAAGGAGCGGGUGUUCUGCGUUGCAGACCUACCUAUAUUUCCAAGACUUCCCAAACCUUAUAAUAAAGAGGAGCACUGGCCAGUUCCUCAAAGGUGAAGAACACUUGAUAGCAACAGCAUGAACUUCUCCCAGUCACAGAAUGGCCUUGUGUGACACUUAUAUUCUGUGCAACUCUCUGUGUUCAUCAAGAAAGCACCAAGCAAAGUAGCAGGAUACAAAAUUAAUGCACAGAAAUCUCUUGCAUUCCUAUACACCAAUGAUGAAAAAUCUGAAAGAGAAAUUAAGGAAACACUCCCAUUUACCAUUGCAACAAAAAGAAUAAAAUACCUAGGAAUAAACCUACCUAAGGAGACAAAAGACUUCUAUGCAGAAAACGAUAAGACACUGAUGAAAGAAAUUAAAGAUGAUACAAACAGAUGGAGAGAUAUACCAUGUUCUUAGAUUGGAAGAAUCGACAUUGUGAAAAUGACUAUACUAC